rnacentral:rRNA from 1 species
AGAGUUUGAUCCUGGCUCAGAUCGAAUGCUGACGGCGUGGAUGAGGCAUGCAAGUCGCACGAUAUAGGGGCAACCUUAUAUAGUGGCGCAAGGGUUAGUAAUACAUGGAUAAUCCACCUCUCACGUAGGAAUAACGGCUGGAAACGGCCGCUAAUACCGAAUGAAGUGUCUUAAGGCAUCUUAGGAUAUUAAAGCGGGGGAUCGCAAGACCUCGCGGUGAGAGAGGAGUUCAUGAGAUAUCAGCUUGUUGGUGAGGUAAUGGCUCACCAAGAGCUAAGACGUCUAGGCGGAUUGAGAGAUUGACCGCCAACACUGGGACUGAGACACUGCCCAGACUCCUACGGGAGGCUGCAGUCGAGAAUCUUGUGCGCAAUGGGCGGAAGCCUGACGAAGCGACGCCGUGUGAGCGAAGUAAGGCCUUCAGGUUGUACAGCUCUUUCGCUAGGGAACAAGAAAGUCUGACGAAUAAUCAGAUGAGCUGAUGGUACUUGGUAAAGAAGCACCGGCUAACUCCGUGCCAGCAGCUGCCGUACUACCGAGGGUGCAUGCAUUGAUCGGAAUCACUGCGUGUAGAGGGCGCGUACGCCGCAGGAUAAGUCGGAUGUGACAUACCAAGGGCUCAACCCCGGAUUCUGCAGUCCGGAUAACUAUGCAGGCNAUACGGUCGGGUAAAAGGAGGAACUGGAUCUCUCCUCGUUGAUAAACCGCUGAGACUGCGAUAAAUUAUUGUGGGAGGCACCACCUAUGGUUGACGACGUGUUUUGCCUGCCUACAACCUGACUCCGCAUGCCCAAUUGACCCAGGGAUCCAACUC